CUGGACCUCCAGUUAUGGGUCAUCUUCACUCAAGUUCUAGGGGCCUGAACAGCUCCAGGGCCUGGGGCCUGCUCUCAAGCUCCCAGUGACACCCCAGGCCUGGGUCCACUUUCCAACUUACAGUUGUUCUUUUAUUCUGUUUCCAUGUUGUUUCCCCCUAACUUUCCCAGUAAAAUCCCUGUAGAAAAGUCCCUGCCUUGUCUCAGGGGAGGCUGGGGCACAGGACUGGCCUGGCAGGGGUCAGAAGGCAGAGCAGGGAGCAAUUGAGAGGGAGAAACAUGGCUGGGCCAUGCACAGAACACAAUCCCAGUUCCCUGCCUCUCCGGCAGGGGCACUUCCUGAGCCUCGGUUUACUACUCCAUAAAGUGGAGUUAUUGGGGGGACCAAAGGGACUCACUUCAGUUGAGGACCUGGCUCCUAGGUAGGGGAGGGUGGGGAGAAGGACCCUCCCCACCAGCUGCCUGCCAGUCCUAGGGUUCUUUUGGAGUCAGGCAGUGACAGCAGAAUUCAGAUGCCAGAGGCGUCAAACCACCUACACUGUUCUGGGUCCAGGGUGGAGCCCGAUCUGAGGACAGGAGCCCCUGGUUUUAUCUUCCACUCCUCCACCGGCUGCAGGGCAUGGCAGGGGUAGUGCCCGCUCUGAGUCUCCAUCCGUCCUGCGAACAUUGCAGAGCAUUGGGCGCCCACCUCAGAACGCACCGUGCAGUGGCCCUGGUGACCGCCAGGGGGAGCCGCAGAAUGAUACUGCGUGGCCUCGCGCUGGGGACGGGUCCACGGGAGGGGCGGGGCGGAGGGCGGGGCAGCCUCUGGCUCCGCCCCGCCCGUGUCCGCUGCGCUCCGCGUGAGGGCAGUGGUCAGUCUGGGGCCUCGGAGUGCCCUGGUAGACGGUGAGCGGCAGAGUGACGUCGUGGUGGCCUCUCGGUCGACCUGGCGUUCCGUCGGAGCCCCGCUGUCUGACCGCUGUGGGGACGUGGCCAGGUCGUGUUUACACGGCUGCAACAGUCCCUGCCCCCGAGCCGAGCGGUGCGGGUUCAAGCUUAGUAAACGGC
rnacentral:lncRNA from 1 species